rnacentral:tRNA from 1 species
GGCAUCAUGGCUAAGUGGUUAGUGUCUGCCUGUAACCCAGAGGUAAUGGGUUUAAGGCUCAUCGUUGCUA